AUGAACCGGCUGAUUUCGAGAAGGAAAGAAACCGAUUUUGGGGAACCAACAGAGCGUAUUAAUCAAUCACCUCUAAGAAAGCUGCGGCAGAAGUUAGCACACAGUAUCCAAAUUGUGUUAUUGCAGAACAUUUGCCCCCCCUCACCCCCAUUCAAUGAAUCUUCGAAUUCCCCUGUGAUUGAUGACCACCUUAAAAAAUGGCACACUCUUGUCUGUAUUGAAGGAUAUAAUUCGUCUCCUUUUUGUAUUUUUCUUCUUUUUCUUGGGGAGGUAGAUCUUCUUAUUCCCAUUACUUUGACCUUUUCUCCAGUUUCUUAG
rnacentral:rRNA from 1 species